GGUUGAUCCUGCCAGUAGUCAUAUGCUUGUCUCAAAGAUUAAGCCAUGCAUGUCUAAGUAUAAACGACUUUAUACUGUGAAACUGCGUACAGCUCAUUAUAUCAGUUAUAAUUUAUUUGAUGGUGAUUUACUACAUGGAUAACCGUGGUAAUUCUAGAGCUAAUACAUGCGCACAAUCCCGACUCACGAAGGGAUGUAUUUAUUAGAUACAACCGACCUCCUUCGGGAGCCUUUUGUCGACUCAUAGUAACUGUUCGAAUCGCACGCUUCACGCGAGCGAUAGUUCAUUCAAA
rnacentral:rRNA from 1 species